CCUACGGGCGGCAGCAGUGGGGAAUAUUGCACAAUGGGGGGAACCCUGAUGCAGCGACGCCGCGUGGGUGAGGAAGUACUUCGGUAUGUAAAGCCCUAUCAGCAGGGAAGAACAUGACGGUACCUGACUAAGAAGCCCCGGCUAACUACGUGCCAGCAGCCGCGGUAAUACGUAGGGGGCAAGCGUUAUCCGGAUUUACUGGGUGUAAAGGGAGCGUAGAUGGGUUGUUAAGUCAGUUGUGAAAGUUUGCGGCUCAACCGUAAAAUUGCAAUUGAUACUGCCUUGCUGGAAUGCGGAUGCCGUGGGAGGAAUGUGUGGUGUAGCGGUGAAAUGCAUAGAUAUCACACAGAACACCGAUUGCGAAGGCAUCUCACGAAUCCGCGAUUGACGCUGAUGCACGAAGGCCAGGGGAGCGAAAGGGAUUAGAUACCCGAGUAGUC
rnacentral:rRNA from 1 species